GUGAGGACCCAGACCCUUGUGAAGAGUGCCAUUGUGCAAGUUGAUGCUGCCCCAUUCAAGCAGUGGUAUCUCACUCACUAUGGUGUCGAUAUCGGUAGGAAGAAGAAAGCUCCUGCUGCUAAGAAGGAUGCUGCUGAGGGACAAGAGGGUGAGGCUGCCACGGAGGAAGCAAAAAAGAGCAACCAUGUUGUGAGGAAGCUUGAAAAGCGUCAGCAAACUCGCACUCUGGACUCGCACAUUGAAGAGCAAUUU
rnacentral:misc_RNA from 1 species